ensembl:lncRNA
GCUGGAGUAGGUCCAAAGAAGGGCUACAAGGCUUGUGAAGGGCUUGGAGAAUAUGCCCUAUGAGGAGCGACUGAAGGAACUGGGGCUGUUUAGUCUGGGGAAAAGGAGACUGACGAGAGACCUUAUUGCUCUCUUCCAGUACCUGAAGGGUGAUUGCAGCGAGAGAGGGGUUGGUCUCUUCUCACUGUUGACAGGUGACCGGAUGCGGGGAAAUGGCCUUAAGUUGCGCCAGGGUAAGUUUAGUUUGGAUAUCCAGAAAAACUUCUUUACAGAGAGGUUGGUUAAGCACUGGAAUAGGCUCCCCGGGGAGGUGGUUGAGUCACCAUCCCUGGAUGUGUUUAAAAACCAUUUGUAUGUGGUGCUCAGGGACGUGAUUUAGCAGAGGGUUGUUAGAGUUAGGGUAGUAUGGUUAGGUCAUGGUUGGAGUUGAUGAUCUUUAAGGUCUUUUCCAACCUGAGCAAUUCUAUGAUUCUAUGAUUGUAUUACAGUAACAGGUAAAUUGGUUAAAAAUAUGUUUUCAAAAGGCUUUGGACCUUUUUCUUUCUGAGUAUUUCAAAAAGGCCAUAUAUAUCAUCUAAUAGCCUGCACCAGACUCCAACAAAUUAGCAGAAAGACUCCCAUUCAUUUUAAUGAGGGCUGAGUCUGUUCUGUGGUUGUACUAAUUUAAGUCAGCUAUAAAUGAACUCCAUGGUUUUUAAAAUAAAUGGCACAAUAUUAACAGGAAUUAACAUGUGUUCAGUAAUACUUUAUUUUUCUUUUAUUAUUGACUUGACAUCUUUUUUCAUUCCCACCAGACAAGUGGAAGAGCUGUAGCAGAAUAAUGUGGAAUCCCUUAAGAAAAUAUAAAAUCCUGUCUCGAGAGUCCUGACCAUAUUCCCAAGUCCAGGUGAUGGCAGAGUGCCAUUCUAAACUCUCUUCUGGAGCUGACACAUUAUGAUGCUUCACAGUGGGUUACGAUCAGCUGUCUCCUAGCUUACAGACUUACAGCAGCUCUGAAAUGUGCCACCAGUCA